AUUGAACGCUGGCGGCAGGCCUAACACAUGCAAGUCGAGCGGAUGAAGAGAGCUUGCUCUCUGAUUUAGCGGCGGACGGGUGAGUAAUGCCUAGGAAUCUGCCUGGUAGUGGGGGAUAACGUCCGGAAACGGGCGCUAAUACCGCAUACGUCCUACGGGAGAAAGCAGGGGACCUUCGGGCCUUGCGCUAUCAGAUGAGCCUAGGUCGGAUUAGCUAGUUGGUGAGGUAAUGGCUCACCAAGGCUACGAUCCGUAACUGGUCUGAGAGGAUGAUCAGUCACACUGGAACUGAGACACGGUUCAGACUCCGACGGGAGGCAGCAGUGGGGAAUAUUGGACAAUGGGCGAAAGCCUGAUUCAGCCAUGCCGCGUGUGUGAAGAAGGUCUUCGGAUUGUAAAGCACUUUAAGUUGGGAGGAAGGGCAGUAAGUUAAUACCUUGCUGUUUUGACGUUACCGACAGAAUAAGCACCGGCUAACUUCGUGCCAGCCGCCGCGGUAAAAC
rnacentral:rRNA from 1 species